GGUGUAGAGAAGCCAGGAGUGCUGUGCUGAGCUCCUUUCAGAAAAAAGAAAACAUCAAGAGCAGGAAGACUCAGUCUUCCUGACACACAUCAGAGAUCUAAGAACCAAAACAGAUCUUCCAGUUUCAGAAAGCAUGGGAGGCAUACCUGACCUACUGAAGAAAAGACUACAGUUGAUCACCCGACAGCUUCUCAUAACCUCCCCCCAACACACACCACAGACCUUCAUCACUGGCCUCAUGAAAAUAAAAGAUGGAGGAAUGUGACCGAAAGCAAAGGCCUCCCCAAACCUUCAUCCUAGAGGGAAAGAAGGUCCAGCAUCUCAAAAUGUGCAGACCCCUGAAUAAACAUGUCUAAUGUGAAAGAUCA
rnacentral:lncRNA from 1 species